rnacentral:rRNA from 1 species
UACGUAGGGGGCAAGCGUUGUCCGGAAUCAUUGGGCGUAAAGAGCGUGUAGGCGGCCAGAAAAGUCCGCUGUGAAAACUGGAGGCUUAACCUCCAGCUGUCGAUGGAAACCAUCUGGCUAGAGUCCGGAAGAGGAGAGUGGAAUUCCUGGUGUAGCGGUGAAAUGCGCAGAUAUCAGGAAGAACACACGUGGCGAAGGCGGGUCUCUGGGACGGUACUGACGCUGAGACGCGAAAGCGUGGGGAGCGAACAGG